rnacentral:rRNA from 1 species
CCCUUAGAUGUUCUGGGCCGCACGCGCGCUACACUGAUGCAUUCAACGAGUUUCUUCCUGGUCCGAGAGGAAUGGGUAACCUUUUGAAAGUGCAUCGUGAUAGGGAUAGACUAUUGCAAUUAUUGGUCUUCAACGAGGAAUUCCUAGUAGACGUAGUUCAUCAGACUGCAUCGAUUACGUCUCUGCCCUUUGUACACACCGCCCGUCGCUCCUACCGAUUGAAUGAUCCGGUGAAUAAUUCGGACCGAUGCAGUGCUCAGCUUCUGAACUUUGCAUUGGAAAGUUUAGUGAACCUUAUCACUUAGAGGAAGGAGAAGUCGUAACA